GGACGUGGCCGUGCUGCAUGCUGGGAGGCGUAGUCUCUGCCGCACGGACCCUCGGGUGAGGUCGCGCGGUCGCCUUCCCUUCGUAUGGUUGCCAAAGCUGUGUUUUUCUGAAGUCUGAGACUGGACAAGGAACCUUCCACUGCAUGAAUACCAAGAAAGCGACAAACUGCACCCAUCCCAAAGGGGUUGAGUUGGCCACCCAAGAUUCCCAGAGAAAGCAGAUUUCUGGCAGACCGGCAGCUGGAGGCCUUCAGGGUGUUCCGCGUGCCAUCCUGGGGCCUAUCCAGAUGGGAGCUCAUUAAACCUCACAACAAUGUGGAGAGAUCGGUAUUGUUGACCCUGUUGUGACAGAUAAGGAACCUGAGAUUGCGGAAAUCAACUUAA